AAUAAAAGUGUCCAGGGGCGGGAAUCGAACCCAUAACCUUCUGCUUACCGGGCAGGUGACAUGUCCACUAGUCCAUAUCUAU